rnacentral:rRNA from 1 species
UUCCGGUUGAUCCCGCCGGAGGUCACUGCUAUCGGGGUUCGAUUAAGCCAUGCGAGUCGAGAGGGUUCGGCCCUCGGCGUACUGCUCAGUAACACGUGGAUAACCUGCCCUAGGGAAGGGGAUAACCCCGGGAAACUGGGGAUAAUACCCUAUAGAUUACAGAUGCUGGAAUGCCCUGUAAUCCAAAGUUCCGACGCCCUAGGAUGGAUCUGCGGCCGAUUAGGUUGUUGUUGGGGUAAUGGCCCAACAAGCCCGUAAUCGGUACGGGUUGUGGGAGCAAGAGCCCGGAGUUGGAUUCUGAGACACGAAUCCAGGCCCUACGGGGCGCAGCAGGCGCGAAAACUUUACAAUGCGGGCAACCGUGAUAAGGGAACCUCGAGUGCCUGUAAAUGCAGGCUGUUCAGGUGCCUAAAACACACCUGAAGAAAGGGCCGGGCAAGACCGGUGCCAGCCGCCGCGGUAAUACCGGCGGCUCGAGUGGUGGCCGCUUUUAUUGGGCUUAAAGCGUUCGUAGCUGGGUUGUUAAGUCUCUUGGGAAAUCUGGCGGCUUAACCGUCAGGCGUCUAAGGGAUACUGGUAAUCUUGGAACCGGGAGAGGUGAGGGGUACUUCGGGGGUAGGAGUGAAAUCCUGUAAUCCUCGAGGGACCACCUGUGGCGAAGGCGCCUCACCAGAACGGCUUCGACAGUGAGGGACGAAAGCUGGGGGAGCAAACCGGAUUAGAUACCCGGGUAGUCCCAGCCGUAAACUAUGCGCGUUAGGUGUAUCGGUGACCACGAGUUACCGAGGUGCCGAAGGGAAACCGUGAAACGUGCCGCCUGGGAAGUACGGUCGCAAGGCUGAAACUUAAAGGAAUUGGCGGGGGAGCACAACAACGGGUGGAGCCUGCGGUUUAAUUGGACUCAACGCCGGACAACUCACCGGGGACGACAGCAAUAUGUAGGCCAGGCUGAAGACCUUGCCUGAAUCGCUGAGAGGAGGUGCAUGGCC